CUAAAUUAAGAACAUUUUUGAGCUGAAGAGUUUUGAUUGUAUAUUUGCAUCAAUAGGAGUCUAAUGGUCAAUGAUUUAUUUGACAGGAUAGUGUGGGGAACAAAACACGGGCAAAUAAGUGAGUUUUAUAUCCUAUUGCUGUCUUAGACAAGAUAAUAAAUCUGCUAAACUGUUAAUUCGAUCAGCCGAGUUGUCCUGCAAAGAGCUGCAAUACCAGUUCAAGUGGAGAUACUGAAGUGGACUCAGAUGACACCAUAAUAUGACAACACAGUCCUACAACAAGACGAAGAGUUGAAGACGCCUCUCUUGCCAAAGUGGUUGCUGUCAUUGGUGAGGAUGCAUCAUCCGUUGAAGGUCACGUGAAUGUCCUGCAUAUCCAGUACAGCAAGGUGCGAGAGGAUAUACUAAAGAAGUACCCUUUCUUGAAGACAACCUCAGGGUUGUUUGACGAUGUUGACCGAAUGCAUCCAUCACCUGUCAGUUUAAGCCAGCGCUUCAAGGACGGCGUUUACCAGUAUUGUGCCAAAGGUGCUUGAGCUUGUUCAAAGAAAAGCUCCAUUAGCCAAAGUCUCCAAA